GUCGAGCGGUAAGGCCCUUCGGGGUACACGAGCGGCGAACGGGUGAGUAACACGUGAGUAAUCUGCCCUUCACUUUGGGAUAACUACCGGAAACGGUGGCUAAUACCGAAUAUGACCCCCUUCUGCAUGGUUGGGGGUGGAAAGCUCCGGCGGUGGGGGAUGUGCUCGCGGCCUAUCAGCUUGUUGGUGAGGUAAUGGCUCACCAAGGCUUCGACGGGUAGCCGGCCUGAGAGGGUGACCGGCCACACUGGGACUGAGACACGGCCCAGACUCCUACGGGAGGCAGCAGUGGGGAAUAUUGGACAAUGGGCGAAAGCCUGAUCCAGCAACGCCGCGUGAGGGAUGAAUGCCUUCGGGUUGUAAACCUCUUUCGCCUGCGACGAAGCGAGAGUGACGGUAGCAGGUAAAGAAGCACCGGCCAACUACGUGCCAGCAGCCGCGGUAAUACGUAGGGUGCGAGCGUUGUCCGGAAUUAUUGGGCGUAAAGGGCUCGUAGGCGGUUUGUCACGUCGGGAGUGAAAACUCAGGGCUUAACUCUGAGCUGGCUUCCGAUACGGGCAGACUAGAGGUAUGCAGGGGAGAACGGAAUUCCUGGUGUAGCGGUGAAAUGCGCAGAUAUCAGAGGAAC
rnacentral:rRNA from 1 species